AAAAACUUAUCUAUUUAGAGAUAAGCUCCAUUAUCCUCUUCCACCUUAUAAACAACUUAAAGACCUAUCAAGAUUCCAGAAGAAAAUAAACUCAAAAUUGAACCUUGAGGAAUGGGAAGUGGAGAAGAUGUUGAUCGUGAUGAUCUUGAAGCCUAAAUACAUGAUCUUGAAGCCUUCAUCUGGUUCUUCAGGAUUGUCAUCGGAGUUGUCAAGAUGGCAAACUCAAGAUCGGCGAUGAGCAACUGACGGUGUUCCGGUGGUUUUCGCAUCUGCAACAUGAACCUAGGUCUAGAAUCAAACACGUGUAUGUCUUACGUGUCAUUUCCUUAUGUUUUUGGGUUCAUUUAAUAUUUGGGCUUCAAAGGCUUUUGUAUCACUCGUCUUCUUG